rnacentral:tRNA from 1 species
CUUAAUAAAGUGUUACCACAAUAAACUUAAAAUUUAUUAAUAAAAUAUUUAUAUUUUUAUUAAGA